rnacentral:rRNA from 1 species
CUACGCCGAAAGGCGAGCUAAUACCGCAUAUAACUCCUGGUGAGAUCCGGGAAGUAAAAGCUCCGGCGCUACGAGAGGGGCCCCGCGGCCGAUUAGCUUGUUGGUGGGGUAAUGGCCUACCAAGGCGACGAUCGGUAGCUGGUCUGAGAGGAUGGUCAGCCACACGGGGACUGAGAUACGGCCCCGACUCCUACGGGAGGCAGCAGCUAAGAAUCUUGCGCAAUGGGCGAAAGCCUGACGCAGCAAUUCCGCGUGGAGGACGAAGGCCCUCGGGUCGUAAACUCCUUUUGCGAGGGAAGAAGUUCUGACGGUACCUCGCGAAUAAGCCACGGCUAACUACGUGCCAGCAGCCGCGGUAAUACGUAGGUGGCGAGCGUUGUCCGGAUUUAUUGGGCGUAAAGAGCCCGCAGGCGGCUUGGCAAGUUUCGAGUGAAAUCUCCCGGCUCAACUGGGAGGGCGCUCGGAAAACUGCCAGGCUUGAGGCAGGGAGAGGGAUGUGGAAUUCCCGGUGUAGUGGUGAAAUGCGUAGAUAUCGGGAGG